rnacentral:rRNA from 1 species
UACGUAGGGGGCAAGCGUUGUCCGGAUUUAUUGGGCGUAAAGAGCGUGUAGGCGGCUAUGCAGGUCCGCUGUGAAAACUCGAGGCUCAACCUCGAGACGUCGGUGGAAACCGCAUGGCUAGAGUCCGGAAGAGGAGAGUGGAAUUCCCGGUGUAGCGGUGAAAUGCGCAGAUAUCGGGAAGAACACCCGUGGCGAAGGCGGCUCUCUGGACCGCAACUGACGCUGAGACGCGAAAGCGUGGGGAGCGAACAGG